rnacentral:rRNA from 1 species
UACGGAAGGUGCAAACGUUGCUCGGAAUCAUUGGGCGUAAAGCGCACGUAGGCGGCCCAGCAAGUCGGGUGUGAAAGCCCUCGGCUUAACCGAGGAAGUGCAUUCGAAACUACUGAGCUUGAAUACUGGAGAGGAUCGCGGAAUUCCCGGUGUAGAGGUGAAAUUCGUAGAUAUCGGGAGGAACACCAGUGGCGAAGGCAGGUCUCUGGGCAUUAACUGACGCUGAGGAGCGAAAGCAUGGGGAGCGAACAGG